rnacentral:rRNA from 1 species
UCUGUGAACUCCUACGGGAGGCAGCAGUGGGGAAUUUUGGACAAUGGGGGCAACCCUGAUCCAGCAAUGCCGCGUGAGUGAAGAAGGCCUUCGGGUUGUAAAGCUCUUUUACCUGGGAAGAUAAUGACGGUACCAGGAGAAUAAGCCCCGGCUAACUUCGUGCCAGCAGCCGCGGUAAUACGAAGGGGGCUAGCGUUGUUCGGAAUCACUGGGCGUAAAGAGCACGUAGGCGGAUCUUUAAGUCAGGGGUGAAAUCCCGAGGCUCAACCUCGGAACUGCCUUUGAUACUGGGGAUCUCGAGUCCGGGAGAGGUGAGUGGAACUGCGAGUGUAGAGGUGAAAUACGUAGAUAUUCGCAAGAACACCAGUGGCGAAGGCGGCUCACUGGCCCGGAACUGACGCUGAGGUGCGAAAGCGUGGGGAGCAAACAGGAUUAGAUACCCGUGUAGUCCAUCAGCG